rnacentral:sRNA from 1 species
AAUUUAGGUUAGGAACAUUGUGUCAGAUCCUAUUUUCGAUACAAGUGGGAACAUCCAAGUCAACAAACCUACAAUGGGGUACCAAAUUUUAUUAAUCGUCUACUCCUUGUUACGUUGGACAUGAUUUUUUGGAUACUUUCUUACAUUUUUUCCUUAUUGAAGGUCGUGUUUCUUAUGGUUUUUCUGACCAUCUUCAUUUCUACUUCAACUCAAUCAGAACAUUUUGGAGAGGCUUCCUGCAUCCCAAUCAUUGAAAGAUCCCCAAACUGAAAAAAAAUUCUAAUGAGCAAAUGAAGGUCUACAUGUACACUAAAUUAUCUUUAUGAUUUACAGUCCUUGUAAUAUUGGACAGUAUUUUUUGGAUAGAUAUUUAAAUAAUCUUCUUAUUGGAGGCAUCGCUUUUUGUUGGUGAUCUAGUAUUUGAUAUCAGUUCCAAACUUGACCAACAUACUCAAUCAUCUCCCACACAUAAUCCCAAAGUUGGGUUAUCUCCAAUGGAAGUAUUUCUUAUCAUCUACAACUGUCUAUCGAUGCACUCUAUCUAUCAUUUGUAAAUAUGUCUUAGUAAAGUAUAAUAAUUUCACAACAUCAUUAUUAUAUCUUUCAGUAUAAAAUCUCUCUCUAUCAAGAUAUGGAUCUACACGAUGUUGUGGAUAAUCAGGUAGGCAUAAAAUUAAAUAACUAGAACAUGUAUAUUUAUUAUUACUGAAAAGCAGUCAAUUUUUACUACAACAUUCUUAGUUCUAUUAUUAAUUGUUUACAGAAAACAUAAGAUUGCUAUCAAAGUCUUGUUAGUUAUGUUGUGAAACCAAUCUCUGAAGACCUAACAUAACGCAAGUUAGUUAUGUUUGCAGACAAAUCCAUCUUCUCGUCCGUUUAAUUGUUAUAUGAUCGGACGGUCAUUAUUUCUCAUUAACUUCUAUUUAAACUGCAAAUCUUACCACGUUCAUUUGAUCCGAAUUAACCCAUUAUUCUACACGUGUUUGGUACACACAAUUACAAACCAAAACCAAUGACCGGUUAUUCUUCUUUUCGUGAUUCAGUUUAUUUGGGGUAUAAUGGUCUAUUUUCACUCCAAAAACAAAGAAAAGUGUCUCAACCUUGGAAAGUGCCUGUUUUGUCUAAACUUUUUCCCAAAGUGCCUUAUUACGGGACAUUCCCUUACUAUAAAACCUAAGAACCGAUUGAUUUUAUAGUUCCAAGGUAAAAACGAAAU